GAGUGAACGCUGGCGGCAGGCCUAACACAUGCAAGUCGAACGGCAGCACAGAGGAGCUUGCUCCUUGGGUGGCGAGUGGCGGACGGGUGAGGAAUACGUCGGAAUCUGCCUAUUUGUGGGGGAUAACGUAGGGAAACUUACGCUAAUACCGCAUACGACCUACGGGUGAAAGCGGAGGACCUUCGGGCUUCGCGCAGAUAGAUGAGCCGACGUCGGAUUAGCUAGUUGGCGGGGUGAACGGCCCACCAAGGCGACGAUCCGUAGCUGGUCUGAGAGGAUGAUCAGCCACACUGGAACUGAGACACGGUCCAGACUCCGUACGGGAGCAG
rnacentral:rRNA from 1 species